GCUCUCGUAGCUCAGUUGGU
rnacentral:siRNA from 1 species